UUCUUCUUCUUCUUCUUCAAGGUUUCAGGCUGGGGGGCCGGCAGCCCUCGGUCCCCGCCCCCACCCCGCGCCCGGCGCAGACCCUCCAGAAGGCCGGGAUUUUUGAGCUAUAAAGAGAAAGGCAUUGAAAUCAAGUCACCGCCAGGAUUCGAAAUUAUCACCAAACACCCAAAGCUGUUGCUUUCAGAUUGAGGGUAAGAGCCUCUCCCUGCCAGUCAAGCAGGCUGUUCCCAAGGUUUCGGAAGCCUGUGACUCCAGAAAGAGUCAUGAUUACUGCAGACUGUCGCCAACCAGAUCUGAUUCCCAGAGCUGUGGGGAAAUGGCAUUGCCGUUUGUGUCACUGAAUGAUCUUAAUUCAAAGAGAAUUGAAAUAAGUAGUAAACAAGCUAACUGUAAUAAAAAUAUGCUUGCAAGUUAAAUUGUUGGUAAUAAGAACAUAUAUAAACAUAUUUAUACAGUAGAGGUUUCCAGUUACUGUCAAC